rnacentral:snoRNA from 1 species
CCUAUUCACGAACAGGAUAUGAUCCUUUAUAUCUUGGCUGGUCUCGAACCAGAAUAUGAGUCAUUUGUCACCUCCCUCACAACUCGCAUGGAUG